rnacentral:sRNA from 1 species
GCUUUUUGAAAUAAAGCCUGAACGGAUGAAAAAGAGCGAGCCUCCAACCAUCGCCGAUGGUUGGAGGCUCGCUCUUUGCUUUU